GGGACUUUUGGGCUAGUUGCCCAAAGGACUCCAGGUUUUCCGACACUUGGACUUCUGGCACUCGACACUUGGACGACCGGUUCGCGACAGGAGGACAUCUGUCUAGCGACGUUAGGACUACUGGUUCCCGACGUUUGGGCGCGACAAUCAAUGUUGCUGAACCCAGCAAGUCCUUUACGAGAUUACGACAAGUGAACUCCCGGGCCAGCGACGUUUGGACUCUUUUUCUUUCGUGUUGUUUACGAAUUAGUCGAGAAUUUUGUGAAAUCGCAAGAAUGUCUGGCCAGCGAAGGCCUGGAGUUCGUGGACGGCAAGCAGUUGUUUAAGGGGCUUCCUUGCCUGUGUUAUUUUUUAAGCCUUGUGUUAUUUUUUAAGUUAUUAUUAUUUUUUCCUUAUGUCCUGCCGAAGUGUAACCAAGCACUGUUCAAAUUUACGUUUCAUCGUGAUUGCCAUAUGUGAAUCUACCCAGAAAAAUUGUACAACCGUGAACGAAGAAUUUUGUAUUUAUGUUGUUUAAUACAUUAACAUUUGAACUACAA